AUAAUAGGACUUGAAGGCUUUAGCUAUGCGAGCCUACUACUACGCUCCUUUGUUAUAGAAUUAAUAGUCAGAAACUUGCCUACUUAAUCUCUUUAGAGAUAAAGGUUCUUACAUAGGUGAAGGCACCCAUAUCACAUUACUUAAUCUCUUUCGAGAUAAAGGUUCUUACAUAGGUGAAGGCACCCAUAUCAUAUAAAAUAGUUAGAAAGCUCGCGCUCCAUUAAGUGUAUAGAUUGAGAUCCAGUAGAAGUGGGAGUGCCGCAAGGCUCUUGAGUUAAAUGAUGCUCAGGAUUGAGGAAGUGGUCUUAUUGGCAUACUUGAAGGCUUUAGCUAUGCGAGCCUGCCACUACGCUCCUUUGUUACAGAAUUAAUGGUCAGAAACUUGCCUUACUUAAUCUCUUUCGAGAUAAAGGUUCUUACAGAGGUGAAGGCACCCAUCUCACAUAAAAUAGUUAGAAAGCUCGCGCUCCAUUAAGUGUAUAGAUUGAGAUCCAGUAGAAGUGGGAGUGCCGCAAGGCUCUUGAGUUAAAUGAUGCUCAGGAUUGAGG
rnacentral:lncRNA from 1 species